rnacentral:rRNA from 1 species
UGGGGAAUAUUGGACAAUGGGCGCAAGCCUGAUCCAGCCAUGCCGCGUGAGUGAUGAAGGCCUUAGGGUUGUAAAGCUCUUUUACCAGGGAAGAUAAUGACGGUACCUGGAGAAUAAGCCCCGGCUAACUUCGUGCCAGCAGCCGCGGUAAUACGAAGGGGGCUAGCGUUGCUCGGAAUCACUGGGCGUAAAGCGCACGUAGGUGGGUCGUUAAGUCAGGGGUGAAAUCCCGGAGCUCAACUCCGGAACUGCCUUUGAUACUGGCGACCUUGGAGUCCGGGAGAGGUAAGUGGAACUGCGAGUGUAGAGGUGAAAUUCGUAGAUAUUCGCAAGAACACCAGUGGCGAAGGCGGCUCACUGGCCCGGUACUGACACUGAGGUGCGAAAGCGUGGGGAGCAAACA